rnacentral:rRNA from 1 species
AGUCGAGGGGUACAGAUGGAGCUUGCUCUUUGCUGACGACCGGCGCACGGGUGCGUAACGCGUAUACAAUCUACCUUAUACAGGAGGAUAGCCCUAAGAAAUUGGGAUUAAUACUCCAUAGUAUUUAUUUACCGCAUGGUAAAUAAAUUAAAACUCAGGUGGUAUAAGAUGAGUAUGCGUCCUAUUAGCUAGAUGGUAAGGUAACGGCUUACCAUGGCAACGAUAGGUAGGGGGCCUGAGAGGGUUAUCCCCCACACUGGUACUGAGACACGGACCAGACUCCUACGGGAGGCAGCAGUGAGGAAUAUUGGUCAAUGGAGGCAACUCUGAACCAGCCAUGCCGCGUGAAGGAAGAAUGUCCUACGGAUUGUAAACUUCUUUUAUUUGGGAAGAACUCCCUCUACGUGUAGAGGGCUGACGGUACCAAACGAAUAAGGACCGGCUAACUCCGUGCCAGCAGCCGCGGUAAUACGGAGGGUCCAAGCGUUAUCCGGAAUCAUUGGGUUUAAAGGGUUCGCAGGCGGUUUAUUAAGUCAGUGGUGAAAGCCUACAGCUCAACUGUAGAACUGCCAUUGAUACUGAUAGACUUGAAUUUAGUUGAAGUAGGCGGAAUGUGUAGUGUAGCGGUGAAAUGCUUAGAUAUUACACAGAACACCGAUAGCGAAGGCAGCUUACUAAACUACGAUUGACGCUCAUGAACGAAAGCGUGGGGAGCGAACAGGAUUAGAUACCCUGGUAGUCCACGCAGUAAACGAUGAUCACUCGUUAUUGGCGAUAUACGGUCAGUGACUAAGCGAAAGUGAUAAGUAAU